rnacentral:rRNA from 1 species
GUCUUUUUGUUUAAAAUUUAAAGUCUAACCUGCCCAAUGAUUUUUUAAUGGCUGCGGUAUUUUGACCGUACAAAGGUAGCAUAAUCAUUAGUUUUUUAAUUGAAAACUUGUAUGAAUGGUUGAACGAGAAAAUUACUGUCUCAAUUUAAAUUUAUUAGAACUUUAUUUUUAAGUUAAAAAGCUUAAAUAAAAUUAAAAGACGAGAAGACCCUAUAGAGUUUUAUAUUUAUUUCAAAUAAGUUUUUAGUAUCUAGUAAUUUUUAAAUAAAUAUUUUAUUGGGGUGAUAAAUAAAUUUAAUUAACUUUAUUAAAUUACAAUCAUUAAUUUAUGAGUUAUUGAUCCAAUAUUUUUGAUUAAAAGAUUAAAUUACCUUAGGGAUAACAGCGUAAUUUUUUUUGAGAGUUCUUAUCGAAAAAAAAGAUUGCGACCUCGAUGUUGGAUUAAAAUUAAUUUUUGGUGUAGAAGCUAAAAUAUUAAGUCUGUUCGACUUUUAAUUUUUUACAUGAUCUGAGUUUAAAUCGGUGUGAGCCAGAUUGGUUUCUAUCUUUAUUAUAUUAAAAUGUUUUAGUACGAAAGGACCAAACAUUAAUAAAAAUUAUUUUAUUUUGAAUUU